rnacentral:lncRNA from 1 species
UAAACACCUCUCCACUUUCUUAUCAGGCACAAACUACUAAUGCCCCCUUUGGAUAGAUGUGGAAACUGAAGCUUAGAGAGGCUAUGUGACCUGCCCAAGGUGCCAGGGCUAACAAACAGAGCUGGAUUUGAAUACAGAUCUGCCUGAUUCUGAAACCCAAGCUUUUUAAAAUCACAUUGACUCAAUGUUAAGAACAGAGGUAAAGAUGCAUCUAAAUAGAUCAUGGUCAUAUAAGAACUCAGAACUUCCAACUGUUAUUCAAAAUACACAGGACACUUUAAUGCAAUCAAGUUACUUUUAAAACAUCUCAAAGAAAUUAAAGGAAAGGGGAUGGGGGACAAAUCCCAGACAGGGCAUUGGCCAGCUGUCUUAAAACUAAGUAGAAUGGGACAGGAGUUCAAUACCCCCAUAGUCUCCCUCCCUCCAACCCUCCACUAAGCUCCCAAUAUAUCUUAGGGAUGUGGGAACCUGAAUGCACAAAACAGAACCACAGUUGCCCCAGGGCAGCCAAGGGAGGCGGCUAUCUCCCAAAAACAGGCUGGCCUCAUUUUGCAGUUUGUCAAGGACUUGCCCUUAAGCUCUCUCUUUCUUGGGGUAAGAGGAAAGCGAAGGGACCUCAGGUCAAGAUUUCUACAGCCCAAGAGAAGCUCAGCUUUAGCUAAUUAGGCACCUCCAGCACACAUGUGAACAGCUAGCGCCAAUAGCUUUGGUCAGCAUUAAUAUGCUGGGUGUAGAUCUUCUCCCUCCAAGACUCCAUACAUUCAGCGUCUUAAGAAGCAGACCCAGAGUUCCAGGGCACAGCCUCAGCAGCCCAAGGCCAGCUCCAAGGUCACUGGCCUUUCCUGAUUUGACCUUCACUUGGGAUCAAGUCUUCCUGAACCAGAAACAAGCUGAAUCCGAGAAGCCCAGGCAGGCUGUGCUGCUAGCAUCCUGUGUAUUUCGCUUCAUCUCUCCCCGUUACAGACCAGGAAUUCCAAAUUCCUAGCCCAAGGUCAGAGAGGUCUCACUGAUGCCUGUGUAGCCACGUGAGGAUGGGAAGUCUCAUUUGCCAGUAAGCACUACAGGAAGUGAUGGUUGAACACGAUGGGACUAAUAAGAAGGAAACGUAGUUAGAGUGAUCUUAUUCAUUUAAAAACAAAAGCAGCAACAAUACAGCAGUCGAGGAAAAGAAUCAAUUCUAUUUAAGCAAAGCAAUUUAAAGUAAUAAAAAAUGUUUCCAGCAUUAUUCUAUUUCAAAACAUUUAUCAGAUGCCAGGGAAAUUAAGCAUGUGCAAGCACACACACCACUCUGUGCAAACGGUUUAUCUAGCAAAACAAGCAGGCGGAAAAAAAAAAAAGGUCUGAGGAACUUCAAUUUUUAACUGCCAAGUGGAUCAAAGACACAAGCAACAGAAAAAGAAAUACACAAGUCUAAAUUUAGUCAUCUCUUAUACUGGUUAAGUCCUUUUUCAAAGUCUGUUGGCUGUUGCCUGGACACAGCUUUGGUGUGAAUGACUUUCAUCUGAGCCUCUAUCCUAAGGGUCAAGCUUAAGAUGCUGAUGGCAAGCAUGCUUGUUUGCUGUGUCCCUGAAGUCUCUGUUUGGCUGUUAAGGGGCAGGAAAAGCUCUCUGGAAGUUUUUGGACCUCAAGAAGUAGCUGAAAAGAGUCAAAGUGAUAGAGAAAAGACAGAGAAGAUGACAGGCAUUCAUACACAUACACUGAUUUAAACUUUUUUUUUUGAGACAGUCUCACUUUUUCACCUAGGCUGGAGUACAGUGGUGCGAUCUCGGCUCAUUGCAACCUCGGCCUCAUGGAUUCUCCUGCCUCAGCCUCCCUAGUAGCUGGGAUUACAGGCACACGCCACCACACUUGGCUAAUUUUUGUGUUUUUAGUAGAGAUGGGGUUUCACCAUGUUGGCCAGGCCGGUCUUGAACUCCUGACCUCAGGUGAUCUGCCCGCCUUGGCCUCCCAAAGUGCUGGGAUUACAGGCAUAAGCCACCGUGCCUGGCCUGAUUUAAACUUAAAAUACACAGGCUGACAGUUCUGCAAUAUUUGGUUUCUGCAACUUUGCUCUAUAAAACAAGGCUCUCUCAAUGACCAGUCUCACAAGAUUUCUACAAGGGGUAAAGUAUGAUAACGUUCUCUUCUAUAAAAAUAUUUUUUGUUUUUGUGAACAUAAAAUGUUUUUACAAAUCCAAAACAGCAUCAUAAA